AGAAGGAGCUUUUCAUGGUGGCUAGGUAGACAUUUAAGUCAGGGUAGAGUUGAAUGGCUAUUUCUAUUCUCAUGAAUCUGCAGAUAACCCCAUAGGUAACACCCAGGAAGGGUCCUUGUGCUUCUUUCUGAGUUUCCAUUCCGAGUUUCUGUUUCCAUGGCUACACCUUUCUAUGACAUAGCUUGUCAGUGAGUGGGAGUGGUUGGUGUCAAUUUGUGUAUUGUAUAUAGUUUGUAAUGAAGGCAGUUGUCCACCAGACUGAGGACACAGCUGGUAGGUUAUAACAUAGCAUAGCACAAACAAGGAGAAGUAAGAUGCAGGGCCAAGAAGAACAAAGACCAAAGUGGAGAAGUGUAGAUGUGCAGAAAUGACACUGUGUAGGAACUUUGUAAGGAAGGAAGGGAUGAUCUUAACACCAAGCCUACUGUCCAGCCUAGGAGAAAAUGUUCUGAGAGACAGAGCUGCUGGGUGCUAGGGCAGGUGUUUGAAGGAUUCUUUGCUGUACUGUGGGUACCUGUCUCAGGGGCCUAAAUGACAAGUGACACUCCUUUGGGACCUUCACCAGACCCUUCAUAUCAUUACCAGUAAGGUGCGUCUACAGGAACCCAGGACACUUGUACAUUCCUACAACAUCAGUAUCUUCAAGAAAUCUCUAUUCUGACAAAAUUCUGCACGUGGCCUUAACAAUUUGAUAAAAGUUAUUGCUGAGUCCUUGCCAGUGUCUGACAGCAUUGUCCCAGGCCCAGUGGAGCUCGCUUGUCAUCUCAGUGCUGGGAAGCAGAGGCAGGUAGAUUCCUGGCACUGCCUUGUCAGCAAGGUCCAUGCCCCAGUGAGACUCUAAAAAGGCAGAUGGUACCUGAGGAACUACAUCAAAUGUUGGCUUAUGGCUUCUACAGGUUAUCACCUCUGUGAACCUUGAAUCAGGCUGUUUCUUUGGUCUGAGCUAAUCAUGAAGGAGCGAACCAGUUGCUGGCCUCUAAGGAAUCCAGAACCAGGAGGCUUCGAUUCUUGGUGGAACAACUCCAGGAAAGAAACUUUGGGAAGCUCUAAGGGGCCAUGACGGAACUUCUCUGGAUCCCAAGUGUCUGGAAGACUUGGACUGUUACUGAAAGAGCAUGACUUAUGUCCUGGAAUUGAUGAUGCCUUCCUGUAGGAGGAAUAUAAGAGGCACUAAGGUUAUAGAACAGAUGCCGAAAUGGCCACGUUUUCAGUGCUUCCUAGACUCCGACAUUUGCCAUCGUAUGUCUAGCUUGAAAAGAUUUACAAAUCAACCACACUUACUGACUGCUUUUGUUCCAUCUAUACCAGAGACGUUCAAAAUCUCAAACGAAAUGCUGCAUGGGGAAGAGUUAUAUUAUCUGACUAGACUGGUGUGCUGGCCAAUGUGAGCCACUGCAGGAGCCCAGCUAUGUGCUUGAGUCAGGAAGACUUUUGCCCUGUCUUUCAUGUCCUAUAACAUAGCUCCCCAGCCACUAGUGAUGCAGUCUGAUGAAAUCCAGGUGUGUAGUCCUCUGAAAAGCAGACUUUUCCUUAUGUGUCUCUUCAUGUCACCUCAACUCAGUAUUGGCAUUUAGUUUGUAUGUGUAUUGUGUGGUCUCUGUCCCAUGGAAGUAAUCUCAGGCAAAGACUCCUUGAAAACCUCAACUACAGCUGUGGAUUUCAUGUUCAAUCAACUCUCUGACUAGCAGAGGAAAGAAGCACAGUAAAGACGUUCUGUCGGGAGUUAUCAAUAUAAACGAAUGACAGGUAAUGAUGCCAAUACCCAACUUGGUAGAAGGAGGAGGAGAUGCUGCCUGUCCAGCAGCCUGCUUAGCUCGUCUCCUGAAGCGGCAAGAGGCAGUCAAGUAUGAAGGUGACCCCAGAGAAACAAACCCUCUUCAUUCUGGCCAAGACCCCAGGUCACUUCCAACCAACGAGCACAAAAUUUCUUUGAAAUGAGGCACGUCAAAUGCUGAACUUACAUGUGGACAUACCAUCUGCUCAAUUCCAGGUGAGAUUACAAAGCUCCAGUAAAGAGAAGUUGCCUAAAGCCACCUAAGUAAUUAAAAGGAAGCAAAACCUUGAAAAUGGAGGAGUAUAGCAGCUAUUAUUUGGACCUUUUGUUUGUUUCUUUCCUCUGACUGCUCCAUAGGAUGUAGAUAUUGUAGGCAUGAACAUCUGAUAUUGAGGAGGGCCAAGCAUUCAAGUGUCCGAAAUUAGUAGGACUUUACAAGGUAGAAGCUGAAGAGAAAGAAUUCCAAGGACAAAGGAGGGAAUGGAGAGAUACACAGAGAAGAUAACAGAUUCCAUGACAGUGGGUCCUCUGACUACUACAAGGCUUACUGACUUCUCUUCAGCCAGACUUUGUUUACAUCACGAUUGAGUCUGCUUUUAAUCAAGCCAGCAAUAUGUCAAUGCCCAAUCCAAUGGAAAUUGGUGGUUUUCAUCUUGACCCAUAGGAUUGGGAAUGUUGUUUAAACAAAGGAAAUGGAUAAAAUGACAGAGCAGUGGUGGCCUCCUCAGCGUAACACACUUUGUAUUGUUUGACUUCUUUUGAUCCAUCUAACGCUCAUACAUCUCAACUGUACUGUUGUGUGGGUAUUUCACUCAUUUUCACUCACAGGGUGAAAAACAAAAAUGCUGAUUAGAAGAAAAGUAUGUUCAUGACCUUGAAGUGGGCAGAUAGUUGUUAAACACGGAUGAAAUGCAAUGCCAUGCUAAGAAGUAUAUGUGGGCUUCUGCAGAUGGAUUUGAAGAAUACAAUUUCAUAAGGAUGAAGUCUCGAGGAUCAUUAAAGGGAUGCUACUGCUAUGCCUCUCUCCAUGAGCCUGCAGCUGGAUGUUUCAGCUAAGCUCUCUGCCUGUCAAUCCCCUGAGAUCUACUCCCUGCCUCACCCCCAUGCUCAUGUUACAGGAACGGGUGGAAGGAUAUCUAGCUGAAUUGAAAUUGACAAAACUGGGUAACUCAGACAGGGCAGCCUCCGGAGAGGCCUUUAACCACAAAAGAGGCACCAGCCUCUGGGGUGAUAAUCAAAGAUGAGUGAAAGACCGUGUUACCCAAGUGUCAGAAGAAACACAAAUCUGUAAAAUAUAACUAGCAAGACCAUGCAGAGAGGAAAUGAUACUGUGAAUAUUUACAGCAGACGACUUCACUUCUGAAUUGGAGACAGAGGUGACAAAAGGGGAGAUAGAGUGGAAUAUUAUGUAGACAGAGCUCAGACCUAGCAGUUGGAAAACUGACCUCCAUCCCUUGGAGCUGACUAAGAAGAUGAACCCAGGAAUUGGGGAGUAUUGUCCCUUAUUACCAUGAAACCCAGGAUCAAGCCAAAGAAUCUCAAAUGUAAAGACCCUACAAUUUCUUUCGGGUUUUUCAAUAUAAAAUUUCAAGAGGACAAUGGUUGCCGGUGGCAGAGGAAAAUGGAAACGUGGCACUGCACCCAGAAGAGAAUGGAUCCAUGAGCAGAAGUAUUGGGGGGGGGGGAAGUCUGCUUAGAAGAACUGUGUCUAGUUCAAGGUUAGAGAUAGAGCUAUUCUUUGUCAUGUCUCUAUUGGGACUGAGAUACCUGUUUGUGAAGAUAGUUGGUGAAAUCCUGGAAUCCCAAAUAUGUCAAAAGGA
rnacentral:lncRNA from 1 species